rnacentral:rRNA from 1 species
CAGUAGCCACGGGAAUACGGAGGGUGCAAGCGUUAAUCGGAAUUACUGGGCGUAAAGCGUGCGUAGGUGGUGGUUUAAGUCCGUUGUGAAAGCCCUGGGCUCAACCUGGGAAUUGCAGUGGAUACUGGGUCACUAGAGUGUGGUAGAGGAUAGUGGAAUUUCCGGUGUAGCAGUGAAAUGCGUAGAGAUCGGAAGGAACAUCUGUGGCGAAGGCGACUAUCUGGGCCAACACUGACACUGAGGCACGAAAGCGUGGGGAGCAAACAGGAUUAGAUACCCCCGUAGUCCCUGUCUCUUAUAC